rnacentral:tRNA from 1 species
GCUGGCGUGGCCGAGUGGUUAGGCAGCGGCCUGCAAAGCCGUCUACACCGGUUCGAAUCCGGUCGCCAGCUCCA